rnacentral:rRNA from 1 species
UACGUAGGGGGUAAGCGUUGUCCGGAAUCAUUGGGCGUAAAGCGCGUGUAGGCGGCUCGAUAAGUCUGCUGUGAAAGUCCAAGGCUCAACCUUGGGAUGCCGGUGGAUACUGUCGAGCUCGAGUCCGGAAGAGGAGUGUGGAAUUCCUGGUGUAGCGGUGAAAUGCGCAGAUAUCAGGAGGAACACCAAUGGCGAAGGCAGCACUCUGGGACGUGACUGACGCUGAGACGCGAAAGCGUGGGGAGCAAACAGG